rnacentral:antisense_RNA from 1 species
UUCUAUGGUAGCGUGUAAUAGGAAAGGUUCGCCCUUUGCCGUUUUUCCUUUGGUAGCGGUUUCUGACCCUGUUACACGCUAUCGCCAAA